rnacentral:tRNA from 1 species
GGAGAGGUGCCGGAGCGGUCGAUCGGGGCGGUCUCGAAAACCGUUGUACUGUCACAGGUACCGUGGGUUCGAAUCCCACCCUCUCCGCCA